UGAACAUUGUUACUGAUAGGGGU
rnacentral:piRNA from 1 species